AAACUACUGAACUGCUGUGGAUGCUCCAACGUCGCCCCGGGCAGCUCCACUGUUGGCCAGGGCAGUUCCAACGUCGCCCAGAGCAGCUCCAACGUCGCCCAGAGCAGCUCCAACGUCGCCCAGAGCAGCUCCAACGUCGCCCAGAGCAGCUCCAACGUUGCCCAGGGCAGCUCCAACGUUGCCCACGGCAGCUCCAACGUCGCCCACGGCAGCACCACUGUCGAUGUGCGGGACAUCGACGUGCAGGAUUCCACUACCGCGGAAUUGAAUGAUGAAGAUUCAAAACUCCUGGAAAAAGGACAAGUAACUGCAUAGAAGAGAGAGGAGGCAAGAUGUUAACCACCUCGCCUGGGAUGCAUGAGGUUGUAGGUUCCAUCCCGACCCUGAAGCUCGCUGUAUUUUUGGAUUUUGCAUGUCUCCCCCCCCCACCCCUGUGGUCACUUGGAUUAUUUGGGUCUUCUGGUGUUGCCCUCCACAUUUAUGAACGUGCCUUCAGAGUAUAUUUAUUCACUUUAUUCUUAUUUUUCUAUCUACGUGACUUUACCGAAAGAACCAAAGAAUAUGACUUCUUGCAGUCACGAAAGUUUUAAGUCAACAGUAUUUUGGCUGUUAGAAAUUUCCGCUUGAUAAGCUAUCAUUUGUGGCCAGGUCACUUCUGAAAUAGAGCUAAAUAGUUCAGUGGGCCUUACGUGGCUUGAUUUGUCCCGAUGAAACGUUCCGAGUUUGCUGUGGGAUCGGCCACACAAUGAGAGGGCCAGGGUACGAGAAGGUUGGUGGAAAAUUGAGAUCACAUUUCAUGUUAUAAGCGGUGGUUGCGGCAGUGGUGGUAAAGGUGGUGGUAAAGGUGGCGGUGGUGGUAUUAAGGUUGUGGUGGAGGUUGUGGUGGUAGAGGUGGUGGUGGUAGAGGAGUGACGCUCACAACAACGAGCAGAGCGCCAGGUGGCUAAAGCACAGCAAGUUGGCACAGUAGGGGGCACAGGUGGUGCAUCAGCCAGUCGUCUCAGUCAUCUCAGUCGACCCGUGGCACCUGGGUCUGCCCCGUGACCUCCUGCCAGCGGACUUUCGACACUUCAUGUAUUCUCAAGGUGCACAUGGCCUGGCACAAGCGUCGUGGUGACGUCACCGCCACUUAGUGGCAAAUGGCGGUUGUUGUUGGUGGUAGAGGUGGUAGUGGUAGUGUAGCAGUGGUGUAGCGGUUAGCGCUACACUGCGCUAUGAACCCGGCGACCCGAUUUCAUUACCCGCUCGCGGCCAACACCAGUGACGAUUAUUUAAACGAGUCCUGGGCCUCUCCUGGGUCGACUCAGCCUCAAAUGAGUACCUGGUGUGGUGUGUAAACAUCGCCACUGGGGAGACAAAGGAGGUCGGGCGUGGUGCUGGCCACCCACCCCCUCGUGUACCCUUUCGGCCUUCAUAGGUGCUCGCUAACAGCACUUGCCCCAACAGUCUGUUAAGGCUAUACGGGGAUCUUUGUUUUGGUGGUGGCGGAGGUGGUGGUGGAGAAAUAAUAAAAUGUAUAGAGACGAACAGGAGGUGGUGGUAAUGAUGAUCAUGUGGAGGAGGAAGAUAGGGAAGAGGUGGUGGUGAUGGAAGAGAUGAGGUGGUGAUGAUGAUAAUGGAGGAGGAGGGGAUAACGGAGGAGGAGAUAAGGGAGGAGACAGAGGAAGGAAGAGUUGAAAGAAGAUGAGUGGGUGGGUGACUGGGUGGGUGAGUGAGUGGGCAGGUGAGUGGGUGGGUCAGUGAGUGGGUGUGUGGCUGAGUGAGGGUGGAUUAUUUCAAGUUCAAGUUUCAUGUAUUAGGUAUAGCCCUGUGAGCCAUGCGGCUCUUGAGUCGGGUGCAACCGCAACAAACAAUAUAAGAACAGAGAACAUCAUAAAGUGACGACGCGCAACAGAAACAUCCUGGAAACACCAGCAAAAUCUUCCAAAAAAAACCCCACUGUAUUACAACGCUGUGUGCAAAAAUCCCAAUAUGAUGCAAGUCAAACAAUAACAACCAUAAGACGUAAUACUAGGGUUCUUCCCCCUUUUUCCGGCAACAAAACUGAAACCUUUCCACAAGGAUCCACAUCUGCAUUAACCACAAUACUUGCAGUCAAAAUGCAAACAAAAACACACUGAUAAUAUAUGCAUUGCAGACACUAAUCCUUGUAAAAAGGCUUCAGCUCCGUUGCCCAAAAAAUGGGAAAACCCCCAUCAUUAUAUUUUGGUACUGGCAAAGGAGUUCUAAUGAUGACCCAUAAGACAAUUUAGAAUAAAGUUAUUAGGCCAACUCCGCACUUCUGCAAGAAACAUGGCUUAACCAUGUUUUCGAAAUCACCAAAAUAAAGCUAUAAAUACAAUGUAACAACAGUAAUCAUAUGAACUUUGAUUCAAAUUUAACAAUAAACGAUAUACAUAACAUGUACGACUAAA